AAAGAGUGGCGAACGGGUGAGUAACACGUGGGUACCCUAAAUCUUAGCAGGGGAUAACAUUUGGAAACAAGUGCUAAUACCGUAUAAUACCAACAACCGCAUGGUUGUUGGUUGAAAGAUGGUUCUGCUAUCACUAAGAGAUGGACCCGCGGUGCAUUAGCUAGUUGGUAAGGUAACGGCUUACCAAGGCAAUGAUGCAUAGCCGAGUUGAGAGACUGAUCGGCCACAAUGGGACUGAGACACGGCCCAUACUCCUACGGGAGGCAGCAGUAGGGAAUCUUCCACAAUGGGCGCAAGCCUGAUGGAGCAACGCCGCGUGUGUGAUGAAGGGUUUCGGCUCGUAAAACACUGUUAUAAGAGAAGAACGGCACUGAGAGUAACUGUUCAGUGUGUGACGGUAUCUUACCAGAAAGGAACGGCUAAAUACGUGCCAGCAGCCGCGGUAAUACGUAUGUUCCAAGCGUUAUCCGGAUUUAUUGGGCGUAAAGCGAGCGCAGACGGUUAUUUAAGUCUGAAGUGAAAGCCCUCAGCUCAACUGAGGAAUGGCUUUGGAAACUGGAUGACUUGAGUGCAGUAGAGGAAAGUGGAACUCCAUGUGUAGCGGUGAAAUGCGUAGAUAUAUGGAAGAACACCAGUGGCGAAGGCGGCUUUCUGGACUGUAACUGACGUUGAGGCUCGAAAGUGUGGGUAGCAAACAGGAUUAGAUACCCUGGUAGUCCACACCGUAAACGAUG
rnacentral:rRNA from 1 species